rnacentral:rRNA from 2 species
UAAUACGUAGGUGACCAGCGUUGUCCGGAUUUACUGGGCGUAAAGAGCGCGCAGGCGGUCGUUCAAGUCGAGUGUGAAAGCCCCCGGCUCAACUGGGGAGGGUCACUCGAUACUGAUCGACUUGAAGGCAGGAGAGGGAAGCGGAAUUCCCGGUGUAGUGGUGAAAUGCGUAGAUAUCGGGAGGAACACCAGUGGCGAAGGCGGCUUCCUGGCCUGUUCUUGACGCUGAGGCGCGAAAGCUAGGGGAGCAAACGGG